AUAAAUGUCACAAUAUAAUCAAAGUAAUUAUUACAUAGCGGAAGUCUUACAGAAUAGAAGAUAAAUAUAAAACGAUCUAAAGUCCAUCCUUGGCGCCAUAAAGUCAACUGGGAGACACCACCUAGAUCAAAUCGAACUCCUCGUUGUGUGGCUCCUCUCGAACAACCUGUUCUUCUCCUGUGGGGGUGUGAGACAGCAAGGGUGAGCUCACACAUGUUCAUCGCUCAACAAGUUGUGGGGAAUAAUGUGGAUGAACUCACCAAAGGUGGGAGCUCAUGUGAAGUGUAAGGCUUACCAAAGAGAAUGGUUAAAGCUGAGCAUUGCUUUUAAAAUUGGUCAAAAUUUUAUUACCAAUUACUAGAUGUAAGUAAAUACCAAACCAUAAUAAUAGUAGAACAAAAUUAAUAAUAAAUCUCAUGCAAUACAAAUGACAAAUUGAAUUUAGUUCCAUAAAUUAAUCAUGCGAGAGUCCUGAGCUGCUCUUGACCGUGAGCUCGGCUAGUCUACCAGUUUUACACUCUGCAGAGGUUGUACCUUGUAUCCACAAGUGAUGAUACCCAUCUGCUAAGGGGUCAUGAAUCCCAUACACCUCUACCAAGGAAGCGAGGAAGGGUAACACUACGAGGCCUUUACAAAGUUCCACUAGCUUCCGAAAACCCGCUACAGUUUAUGGGAAGAGCUCUUGCAAGAAUUCCUCGACUGACCGCCAUCGCAGCAAAAUCAACCCGAGAACCUCCCUGCAUGCAACUCCCCAACUGCCCUUGUUCCUUUCGAGUAAGGUAGUCUGCCACUAGCUUUUUCUAAUUAAUCAGCCAACGACGUCCCAUUCCAAGUUAAGCUUUUUCUAGUGGUGGCAUGUGUUUCUCAAGUUAAGCUCCAUGUUCCAUGUAAAAUAAUAUAAUAAUCUUGACAUGAACAUAAAUAACAUAACAGAAUAAUUGGAACAUGGAUAUAAUGAAAUAUUAACCCAAAACCAUAUAAAGCAAUAGUAAAACUACCCAAGUGAUUCAGGGGUAAACAAGGUAAAAGAUAAUCAGACUAGGGUGACCUAUUGGCUCCCAUCAAAAUUAAACCUAUGCAUGAAUAAGUGAUAUUAAAGAACAUGAUUGGGUAAUAAAUGUGGUCAAGGGCACAACUUGCCUGUGACUUGAGAAUCCAGGUAUCGGGAUGAUCCUCAGAUUCUUAUGACCUCAUUGCUAGUUGUAGCAAUACAAACAUACAUGAUAUAGAAAAAAUUAACAUCACACCAAACAUAAGAACAUACUGCAUAAAUAAUAAUCUACACGUUGCUACAAGAUCGUGGGAUCGAGAACUACUAAGAUCACAGUCAUGGUUAAGGAGUUAUGAUCUAUGGAAGAUCUACGUGAUUUAAACUAUAUUAUAAAUUGAUUAGUAUGCCUCAUAUGAGAAAAUAUGCUCUAAAUAAUCAAUUCAACUUUAAUCUAGAUUAUACUUGACUAGAGAUCAUGUAUUAACCACAUUAUAAUUAUGGUCAGGUUAGUUUUGAUUUAGAAGAGCCAAUCUAGUAGACAUAGGGUAAAUAAAUAUCUAACCAUAAAAUUAUUCAAUAUGGUAUAAUUAAUGUUGUUACUGCGUAGUAAAUAUUUAUACGAAGUUAACACAACUGGAACGGGUCAAAUCGGAAUUAAAACGAAGAAGUUAUGGAUUUCCGAAGUUCGUAUGUAUUGCUACAAAAUUAAUUGAGUAAUCAAUUCUAGUAUGGUUGUCAUGUUAAAACAGUGCUACCAAGUAAUAGAAAAUAUUAAUACAAAAUUAUAGGAACUAGAAUGGACUAAAAAGGAUUUAAUAUGAAUUUUCUAUGAUUUAUACAAGUUUCUACCAUUAUUUUUGUGUUAAAUAUGAUUUUAAAAUAAAUUUCUCUGAUUUUAUUCGCUGUCUAGACUGCGCGCAUGAAUUCAGAGAAUAACAGGGGCUAACACGUAAAUUUUCUAAGGCUCAAUGAACAAUCCGAGUGGAAUGCGGGUUGAAUACCUCUAAGGGCUUGUUCGGUUAUUUUCAAUCCAUAUGGAUUGAAGAGGAUUGAUACGGAUUGGGAGAUAUUUUGACUUACUAGGGAUUGAAACCCCCUCAAUCUCCAUCAAUCCAUAUGGAUUGGGGUAGAACCGAACAAGGCCUAAAGCGGAGGCUCUUUUGCAAAACACACGGACCGAAGGGGUAUCGCCUUAAAUGGGUCGUUGGAUCAGGGUUGGUCAUGUGAGAUUAAUUCAAGUCCUAUCUGAACCGGUAUGGCACCAGGACCACAGGAUCACAGAUUAGUGGCGUAGAUUUCAAAUGUGCUCGAUCUGUUUACCUCCGUUGGACUCCGGAUGGAUGACCCAGAUCACAAUCCUGAAGUAGCAACGAGAGAUCUGAUCACUAGCGUCCAUCAAGGAACCGACCGCCAAGGACGCUCCUUCUACCUUUCUACACCCAGCCACGGCGGACGGCCAUCGCCCGCGCUCGAGGACACACCGGCCAUCACGCAAACGCUGUUCCGAUGCCCCAGACUCUACAAAAUUAGGUGCUACGUGAUGUAGAGUCGAGCACGAGCUAGAUGGAGUGCGAGGACCACCUAUCCCAGCAACUCCGCGACAAUGCUUGAACCACGGCGAGCAAUCCCCAUCGAUCCGACCGCCCAUGAGUCCAGGUGAUCCAACUUGAUUCAACACCGAGCACAUCCCUUCGACACGCACCUGCUACGGGGAUUGGAGUGAUGGCGAAGCGCGAUUUUGACGUCGACAGCGCCCACAAUUCUCUCUCCUGCUCUCGGCGAACAUGGCGGCUGAGAAUGAACGGUGCGAGAUUCAUGCGUUAGGAAGGAGGGGGCGCAGAGGUGGAAGAUGGGUCGUCACAAGGCUAGGGCGCUACAUGUAGGAGCAGGGCGACCCGAGAUUGAGCCACGAACCCCCAACUUCCACGCGCCAGUCCUCCAUUGGCGGCGAGGUGGUUGGGCGAGAGACUGGCGAC
rnacentral:lncRNA from 1 species